UUGAAGGUUGGGUAACACUAACUGGAGGACCGAACCGACUAAUGUUGAAAAAUUAGCGGAUGACCUGUGGCUGGGGGUGAAAGGCCAAUCAAACCGGGAGAUAGCUGGUUCUCCCCGAAAGCUAUUUAGGUAGCGCCUCGUGAAUUCAUCUCCGGGGGUAGAGCACUGUUUCGGCUAGGGGGCCAUCCCGGCUUACCAACCCGAUGCAAACUGCGAAUACCGGAGAAUGUUAUCACGGGAGACACACGGCGGGUGCUAACGUCCGUCGUGAAGAGGGAAACAACCCAGACCGCCAGCUAAGGUCCCAAAGUCAUGGUUAAGUGGGAAACGAUGUGGGAAGGCCCAGACAGCCAGGAUGUUGGCUUAGAAGCAGCCAUCAUUUAAAGAAAGCGUAAUAGCUCACUGGUCGAGUCGGCCUGCGCGGAAGAUGUAACGGGGCUAAACCAUGCACCGAAGCUGCGGCAGCGAACGUAUCACCCAAGACAACUUUACGGAGUUGACGAUUGACGGAGCGAAGCGACGUCAAAGCGUUCAUUAAAGUCGAGUUGGCUUAGGGAUACGUUCGUUGGGUAGGGGAGCGUUCUGUAAGCCUGUGAAGGUGUGUCGUGAGGCAUGCUGGAGGUAUCAGAAGUGCGAAUGCUGACAUAAGUAACGAUAAAGCGGGUGAAAAGCCCGCUCGCCGGAAGACCAAGGGUUCCUGUCCAACGUUAAUCGGGGCAGGGUGAGUCGACCCCUAAGGCGAGGCCGAAAGGCGUAGUCGAUGGGAAACGGGUUAAUAUUCCCGUACUUGGUGUUACUGCGAAGGGGGGACGGAGAAGGCUAUGUUGGCCGGGCGACGGUUGUCCCGGUUUAAGCGUGUAGGUGUGUGUUCCAGGUAAAUCCGGUUCACUUUAACACUGAGGCGUGACGACGAGGCACUACGGUGCUGAAGCAACAAAUGCCCUGCUUCCAGGAAAAGCCUCUAAGCAUCAGGUAACAC
rnacentral:rRNA from 2 species